rnacentral:misc_RNA from 1 species
UCUCCGUUGGUGAACCAGCGGAGGGAUCAUUACAGAGUUUUUAACUCCCAAACCCAUGUGAACUUACCAUUGUUGCCUCGGCGGAGCCUACCCUGUAGCUACCCUGUAGGGUGGUUACCCUGUAGCGCCCCGCCGGUGGAUUUUCAAACUCUUGUUAUUUUUAGUAAUCUGAGCGUCUUAUUUUAAAUAAGUCAGAACUUUCAACACCGGAUCUCUUGUUUCUGGUAUCGAUGAAGACCGCAGC